ACAUCAGCUUAGCACAGUACCUCAUUAAUGCCAGGCUGUCUUCUGAAGUGUCAGGCCUGGGAGCUCUGUAGCUCUACGGCUGCUGUCAGCAGAUUAGCGUCCCGAGGGGCAGUUUCUAAGCCACAUGGGCUUCCUAUGGACUUCAUAUGCUGUGAAGAAUUCCUGCCAAUCAUUCGUCUCCCAGACGAUUUUUCACUCAAGUCAAAGUCCGAUCCUCUUUAAGCAAAUGUGCUUCCUGAUCUGUGUUGUGUCAUUUUCUUAAACGGUUUUGUUUUCCUUGGUCUAGUUGGGGCCAUGGCUCAGUUUUUGUCUCUUUGUAAAAGCAUGAGCUUCUAGUUAUUCAGGUCCGAAUCUUAAAUUUUGUCUACAUUACUAAGCAAAAUUAAAUGAUGAUUUUUAUAAGUGAAGCAUUCCUGGGAUGACAUUUGUUGUUGUUUUAAUCUUCAGUUUUGAAGCUGGUGUACCUUCUCUGGACCUACUCAAUGGACUCAGUGUGUUACAGUUCCACCUGCAGCUGUAUUUUAUUAUUAUUAUUUUUUUUUUAAAUAAAACUUGCAUUGGUAUGUUUUGCUGCUGUAUAAACACGCAGUAUAUUUACUGAGCUUCAGGGAACUUUUCAGUACUUGUACAGCUGUGCUGUAAAAAUGGAUACACCUAAUAAAUCUGAAUCAGUAUUA